rnacentral:rRNA from 1 species
UGGGGAAUUUUGGACAAUGGGGGAAACCCUGAUCCAGCCAUCCCGCGUGUGCGAUGAAGGCCUUCGGGUUGUAAAGCACUUUUGGCAGGAAAGAAACGUCGCGGGUUAAUACCCCGCGAAACUGACGGUACCUGCAGAAUAAGCACCGGCUAACUACGUGCCAGCAGCCGCGGUAAUACGUAGGGUGCAAGCGUUAAUCGGAAUUACUGGGCGUAAAGCGUGCGCAGGCGGUUCGGAAAGAAAGAUGUGAAAUCCCAGAGCUUAACUUUGGAACUGCAUUUUUAACUACCGGGCUAGAGUGUGUCAGAGGGAGGUGGAAUUCCGCGUGUAGCAGUGAAAUGCGUAGAUAUGCGGAGGAACACCGAUGGCGAAGGCAGCCUCCUGGGAUAACACUGACGCUCAUGCACGAAAGCGUGGGGAGCAAACAGGAUUAGAUACCCUGGUAGUCCACGCCCUAAACGAUGUCAACUAGCUGUUGGGGGCCUUCGGGCCUUGGUAGCGCAGCUAACGCGUGAAGUUGACCGCCUGGGGAGUACGGUCGCAAGAUUAAAACUCAAAUGAAUUGACGGGGGUCAUAGUG